AUUAGUAUAAUUUGGGCUAUUCCACAGUGCAGCACUUUGUGCUUAUUAAGAAAUGACUUUCACCUGCCAUCCUGCCCUCUCCCCAUUCUCUUUGUGGUCUUUCUCUUAUUAAAGGGAAUUUAAUUUUUCCUUUCAUUAUCUUUAUUUUCUUCCAGAGGAUUAUAACGAUUAUAAAUUCUCCUCAAUGGGAUGAACCAGAGCUACAAGCAACGACUGAUUUCAAAUUAUUUCAUUUUUGUGAGGCGAGGAAUACAC
rnacentral:lncRNA from 1 species